rnacentral:rRNA from 1 species
UUCUUAUACGACUUAUUAUAAGUAAAAUCUGCUCAAUGAUAUUUAAAUAGCCGCAGAAUUUUAACUGUGCUAAGGUAGCAUAAUCAUUUCCCUUUUAAUUGAAGGCUUGUAUGAAAGAUUUUACAUUUAAAUUAUUUUUUUAUUAAAUUAUAUUAAAAUUUUAUUAAAAAUAAAAAUAUUUUUAUUCACAAAAAAGACGACAAGACCCUAUUGAACUUUACUUCAGUUAAGCUGGGGAAGCUUAUUAAAUACCAUUUUAAUGCCUAAAUUUAAAUAGAUUUCUGGACACCCAAUUCGAACAAGUUACCAUAGGGAUAACAGCGUAAUAAUUUUUUAAAGUUCUUAUUAAAAAAAAAGUUUACGACCUCGAUGUUGAAUUAAAUUUACUUUAAAACGCAAUAGUAUUAAAAGUAGGUCUGUUCGACCUUUAAAUUUUUACAU